CUUCAAAAAUCUAAGAAAAAUGUUUCAUCUCUCCCACCACCACCAUCUGCAAUUCUGCAUAGCUCCCACCACCAUUCCAUUUCAAUCGCCGCCAUCAUAACCAGCACCACCAACUCCGUCACCUCCGCCACCAUAACCAGCAGAUCUGUUACAUUUUAUAUGUAUGAUUUCAACUUUUAUCAAUUGUUCUUCAUCUUCUUAAAUAUAUUUUCACCUGAUUCAACUACAAAACUCAAAUCUAGUAAUGAAGCAAAGAGAAAUUAAUCACCAUAACCCAAUCACGAGCAUCAGAAAAGUUGGAUUCACUUCGAUUUUCAACUGAAGUGUGAAUUAUUCCAUUUUCUAACCCUAAUUUUGGAUUUCAUUUUUCUUCAGAUUGAUGAUUGAUUCAGGGAAGUCACAUUUUUUGUGUUGGUGGUGUUGUAAUGUGAUUUUUGGUGGUGGUGGUGGUGGUGAGGUUGGAAUGAUGAACUGACAGUACAAUAAUGGUGGUUUGAUUACAAAUUUUGGGUGUUUCUCAUUUUAUUGAAUUUUGUUGUGCGUCUUUUAGAACAAAGUAUUGGGAUAUCAACAAUGCAUAUACAAGUAUUGGUAGAACUGAUUUCGGUGCUUCUAAUCUAUCACUACCGUUUGGCCUCUUCUGAGAAUGCCUACGUUCUGGCUGGUCAUGACAUCAAGUGGAUUCCUAGGCCUUGCUAUCAGCUUCACAUCGAUGUGGUUUCUGCACCAAACAGGGGCUACAACUUACAGCCUUGUCGGAUCACUGAAUAAGGUUCCUCUCUCCGUCGCGGGAAUCCUUCUGUUCCACGUUCCUACUAGUUUACAGAACUUUACCAGCAUCCUUUUUGGUCUUUUAGCAGGUGUGUUCUCUGCCAGAACCAAAAUGAAGGAAAAAUCCUAGUCCUGAGUAUGUUGUUGCAAUAGUCUUACGAUGAAGGCAUGAAGUAACUCUAUGUAGUUUGCUCCAUUUUCGUUCUUGGACUAUAUUUUUUGGGGACAACUUGAGAAAGUUGCUUUCACUUUCACAUUUGGAGGCAACUUGAGAAAGUUGCUUUCGCAUUUGGAGGCAACUUGAGCUAGUUGACUCCAGAUUCAGAGGAAACUUGAGCCAGUUGAUUCCAGUUUUUCCAUUUUUUUAAGAAGCUUGUUCGGGUGUUGUUCUUGCUACUACCAAGACUAACAAACAGAAGAACCAUUCAAGUUUGGUUCCUGGUUUUCAAAUUUGGCAACAACUUAUCCAAGUUGCUUCCACUACUGGAGACAACUUAGUUGCUUCAGUUACCGGAGACAACUUAUGCUAGUUGCUUCCAUUACUGGAGAUAACUUCUGCUAGUUGCUCCAGAUUUUGGGAACAACUUCACCAAGUUGAUUCCAUUACUAGAGAGAGCUUGUUCUAGUUGCUUCCCAUCUCCUUUUAGCUUUUUGUACCUGCAAUCAUACAACAGUAUUGCAUCUGCAAUCAUACAACAGUAUUGCAUCUGCAAUCACAUGAAAAUAAUAUUUUAUCUAUUAAACCAUUAGUCAUUCGUGC